AUUGAACGCUGGCGGCAUGCCUUACACAUGCAAGUCGAACGGUAACGCGGGGCAACCUGGCGACGAGUGGCGAACGGGUGAGUAAUGUAUCGGAACGUGCCCCGUUGUGGGGGAUAACUGCUCGAAAGAGCAGCUAAUACCGCAUACGACCUGAGGGUGAAAGCGGGGGAUCGCAAGACCUCGCGCAAUUGGAGCGGCCGAUAUCAGAUUAGGUAGUUGGUGGGGUAAAGGCCCACCAAGCCAACGAUCUGUAGCUGGUCUGCGAGGACGACCAGCCACCCUGGGAACGAGACACGGCCAAGACUCCUACGGGAGGCAGCAGUGCGGAAUUUUCGACAAAGGACGCAAGUCUGAUCCAGCCAUGCCGCGUGCGGGAAGAAGGCCUUCGGGUUGUAAACCGCCUUUGUCAGGGAAGAAACGCUCUGGGUUAAUACCUCGGGGUAAUGACGGUACCUGAAGAAUAAGCACCGGCUAACUACGUGCCAGCCGCCGCGGUAACAC
rnacentral:rRNA from 1 species